AACGUGCUGAACUCUGCCCGGCUGCUGGGCGACGCUUCGGUUUCAUUCACUAAUAACUGUGUGUCUGGAAUCGAGGCCAAUACAGAGAGAAUCAACAAGCUGAUGAACGAGUCUCUGAUGCUGGUGACGGCGCUGAACCCUCACAUAGGUUAUGAUAAAGCCGCCGCUAUUGCAAAGACGGCGCACAAAGAGGGCUGGACUCUGAAAGCCACGGCCGUGAAGCUGGGAUUCCUGACGGAGGAGCAGUUUGAGCAGUGGGUGCGACCGCACGACAUGCUGGGACCCAAAUAGAUCGGAAGCUCACGGGAAUGCUGCCUCUGUACAAUAAAAGACCUGUUCUGUUCAAAUGCAUGUGGUUUCUCUCAAUCACUGCACACUUUCAGACACCGGCUGAGCUCUUAAAUCUGUCGUGACGGACGCUAAAGUUUAUUUACAUUUAUUCAUAUGACAGACGCGAUUCACAGUGUGUGCAGGGUUUAAUAUUUGAUCAGUGUGUGUGAGUUACCUGUGGCUGCAUUAAUGUAAGAUCAAGAGUAUAAAGUCAUCGGAAAAACUAAUAU